GAGGGCGGGGGAUAACCACUGGAAACGGUGGCUAAUACCGCAUAAUGUCGCGAGACCAAAGUGGGGGACCUGAAAGGGCCUCACGCCGUCGGAUGAACCCAGAUGGGAUUAGCUGGUAGGUAGGGUAACGGCCUACCUAGGCGACGAUCUCUAGCUGGUCUGAGAGGAUGACCAGCCACACUGGGACUGAGACACGGCCCAGACUCCUACGGGAGGCAGCAGUGGGGAAUAUUGCACAAUGGGCGGAAGCCUGAUGCAGCCAUGCCGCGUGUAUGAAGAAGGCCUUCGGGUUGUAAAGUACUUUCAGCGGGGAGGAAGGAUUUAGCCUGAAGAGGGUUAGAUUUUGACGUUACCC
rnacentral:rRNA from 1 species